UGGGGAAUAUUGCACAAUGGGCGAAAGCCUGAUGCAGCGACGCCGCGUGAGGGAUGACGGCCUUCGGGUUGUAAACCUCUUUCAGUACCGACGAAGCGAGAGUGACGGUAGGUAUAGAAGAAGCACCGGCCAACUACGUGCCAGCAGCCGCGGUAAUACGUAGGGUGCGAGCGUUGUCCGGAAUUACUGGGCGUAAAGGGCUCGUAGGCGGUUUGUCGCGUCGAUCGUGAAAACUUGGGGCUCAACCUUAAGCUUGCGGUCGAUACGGGCAGACUUGAGUACUGCAGGGGAGACUGGAAUUCCUGGUGUAGCGGUGAAAUGCGCAGAUAUCAGGAGGAACACCGGUGGCGAAGGCGGGUCUCUGGGCAGUAACUGACGCUGAUGGACGAAAGCGUGGGUAGCAAACA
rnacentral:rRNA from 1 species